GAUGACAUUUGCUAUUCGCCACUAUUCUCACAGAAAUGUAGCCGUGACGACGAGAUCGUGAGAUCUCUGAAACCGUGUCUGUGUCAGUCUCCCUGUAACCAGUACAUGGAACUUUAUAUCUGCGUAACUUACGCAGCAGACCUCGUCACCUGCACUGGAGACCAGGGAGCAAAGACGUUUAAUGACACUAACCACAUCCGCAAGUUAGCAACGUCAGUGAUCCUAAAGAAUAUCCGGAGGAUUGGAUUGAAGAGAUUUUCCGGCGGUAAAAUCCACUGCUGGUCUCACCGAAACUUCAAUAAAUAAGAAGAAAACCAACCAGCAGUGGAUAAGUCAUGUUUACUGCAACUCAUCAAUCGACUAUCCCACAUUGAAGUAGCUGCCGGUUGGAGAUAUCGUACUAUUUGCAUUACAAGAAGAAAGGGGCGCAAGAAAUGCGCUGUAUGAGCGGGAAAGGCGCAACGGCUUACUCGUUUAUUAUUCACAUGGAAAACCAGUAGCUAUACAAUUUAACUAAGAAGAAAUAUAAAAAAAGAAAGCGAUGGGUAACAAAAAACCGAUUACAAUUCACGAUUGGUAACAGAGAAUAGAAAAAUGUCAACACAUAUAGUACUGAAAGUACUAAUGAAAAUUAUAAUUAAGGCAAUACAUAAUGCUGCAAAAAUAACUACAAUAAGUGCCGUAAAGGUACUUACUUCUAUAAUUGGUUAAGGAAGGAAGCAUUGGUAUAGGUGCACUGAAUCUAAAUGAUUUAAUUUUUUUUACAUUCGAUGUCUUUGGACAGAAUUUUUAAUAUAAAAGAAAAGUUUUAACAAUUUACGCCUUUAAAAGAGGUAGCAAAUUUUCGUCUAUUUACAAGAGCUUUGGCUCGGACAAAUGAAACAAUGGGAACCGUUUUCUAUUGAAAUUAUUUACUGAGUAUUUUGCCGGAUCUAGGCCAUACUCAAUUGGUACUCAUCCGUGCACCUCAAGUAAUCUUGAAAAGCCAGCAUAUCCUCCAUCGAUGUUAUUUUGGAGUAAAUUUUAAUGACGUCAGCAAAUAAGAAGAUUAGAGUUAUGGAAAGAGAGCUCGAUGUCACCUAUAUAUAAGAUGGACAACAGUAAAGGGCCAAUUAGAGACCCCGUGGAGCACCGCUAGGAAUCGUGCACUGAACCGUGGACUGAACGAAUUCCUAGCCGCAGCAUAAACUUGUGCAUAUGCAAUUCCCGUAGUCCGAACUCUUCUUAUGACCGGAACGACAGAAUUAGAAGAUUUCCUUAAUAGCAGUCUGAUGGGGACAGCUAUAGUUCUUGCCGAGAUUAUACUGUAAGCGAUGACGAAGGGGAGGUGCAGCUGGAUGAUCCUAAUGAUUCGGGAGUCUUCGGAACGAUGUCAUCUGCUAGGAGACUCUGUCUUCAAUGACCUAUUUGAUCAAGAGCAUCGUAGAUUUUCUCAAAGUCGUAUUGAGCUGAGUAGAAUAAAAUACAGAAGCAGAUAAGUUGUAUGUUGCAAAUGCAAUCAAAAUAUGACUAGCAUUUUAUAGGAACGCCGCACAAAUACAAAUCUAAUACUCACGCAAUAAUGAACUUAAAUCUAGUUGCGGUGGUAGGUGCAAUGUUGGUGGUGAUCGGGGCUCCUGCUCUACUACUAAAAAAUUCAAAACCGGUUAAUUGUGUGCUACAAGUGCGACCAAACUAAACAUAGUUCCUCCAAUCAAAUUUAAUACUUACAGGAAAGAUCUGGAAAAUCUGCCUCUGUGGGCAAUAUUGAUGGAGACGCAGUCUCGGCGGGCUCCUGCUCUGCUACUAAAAAUUCAACAUCAGUUAAUUGUGUGUUUCAAACGCGACCAAAAUAAACAUAGGUGCUCCAAUACAAAUUUAAUACUUACAGAAAAGAUCUUCAAAUGAUACAUCCUCAAGCGAUGGUAAUGCCAUGGCAUGGCAGGAUGGCAAUGUUGUUGGACACUGCAUAUCGGGCUCCUGCUCUGCUACUAAAAAUUCAACACCAGUUAAUUGUGUGUUACAAACGCGACUAAAAUAAAAAUAGUUGCUCCAAUACAAAUCUAAUACUCACAGAGUGGUGGAAUUAAAUGUAAUACUUACAGGAAAUUUGAGUCUGUACUUGCUCUGGCUGCUGCUGUAGUAGUGACAGUGUUGGAUAAAAGUAUUGUUGUGACGGGAAGUGCUGGUACGGUGGCGUUGCCAGUGGUGUCAUCGGUGGGUUACGUGUCGGUCUAUGUCGGCUCUGGCCGUGUAUUGACAAAGAUAGAAAACUAGUUAGUUGUGUGUUACAAAUGUGACCAAAAUAAACAUAGUUGCUCCAAUACAAAUCUGAUACUUGCAGAAAAGCUCUGGAAAGAAUAUAUGCUCGAACGAUGGUAAUAUUGGUGGAGACUGCGUGUCGUGUCGUCUAUUUAAUACUAGUCAUAUUGUCAUUGCAUUUGUGGUAUACAAUUUUUCUGCUAUUGUAUUGUCUCUACUCAGCUGAAGACGGCUUGGAUAAAUUUUCAGUGUUAUAUAUCAAAUAGUCUGAAGAAUUACGUAGCUCUGAAUUCUGCACUCAGUACUUAGUGACCAAGUGCAAUAGCUGCAACUGCCAGGCGUUCUACUUCAGAUUACAAUCGCAAUGGAACUGGUUCCAUUCUUACAAAGGAAUAAGGAUUACGGUAGCAAUGGAAUCAGUAAAAGACUCAGACAAUUUGAAUAAGGAGCAGCCAAGCCAGACCUAGGAACCAGAGCCAUCCACAUCAAUCGUCUCUAUAGGAAGGCCAAGUCCAAAGCGUGGAAGACCCCGUGGUGCAAAUAGCACCCCACUGUCUUCGUAGGAAAAGCGCGCCAGGAACGCUCAAUAUGAGCGUGGAAGGCGAGAGGAGUUGGCGAAAGCCCACUGCGAACUGGCAGAGGCCGCAGGGUGUAGGGUCACACAAUAUAACGUCGGCCAACUUAAUGGUACAUGUUAUCAUGCACUUGAAAAUUAAAAGAAGAGAACGUAUAAAAGACAUUAAACGCGUGAAUAGAAAAUUGAAGAAAAAAAUAAAAAAGCUAGAGUCGGCCCGCGACCAGGCACAACAAGUCGCUCCAUCAGCACCGCAGCCAGAUAUACGGCCGCAGGCGACACCUAGCCCACUGUAACAAUUGUCGACAGUGUCUUCCAUACAGCGUUUAUCCAAAAUAGCAUAAUAAUUAAUCUGGACCAGUGAUAUAAUAUGAGUAAGCCGUUAAACAUAAUAAAAAAUUAAAUGUGUUUAUAGUGGAAAUUAUGUUAGUUACUAACACAUACAAUAAUAUACAACAUGUUAUAUUAUAUGGGCUAAUAUGGUAAUAUACUGUACUAGUUGAAUGUAUUAGCUUAUAUAGGUAUGUCCAUUGUGCAAUAUGAAAAAAAAUAUUUCCUUUUCAUUGUUCUGACAGAAAUAUCUUACGACAGUCGUUUAUACUUUAGUGUUGGAAAAUCAUAAUAAGUAUUAUUUGCAUAAGACAAGUACUACCCGUCAAUGUGCCUCAUGCAGCAUUGUAGGCACUUUAAGUGCCUGCGUAAGGUCGAUAAUGGCUUGGUAGUACAAUGUCUGUUAGUUAUGAGCUACUAUAUAACUGCAGCUUUUAAUGUGCGAUUCCGUACACUGUUGCGUAGUCAUUAUUCCAUUUUUACUCAUAUUUCGCAUUAAAUGCGCGACUUUCUUAUUGUAAUGAAAAUUUUAACAUUAUUAUAGUUCAAGUAGUCAUAAUUGGUAUCUCCAACAAAUAAUCCCAUAAUAUUUGUUUCGUACAAAGCAGUGAUAGAAGGUUCUGACGUUUGAUGUUCGUCUAUUAAUUCACCAAGACGAAGUCACCGUACUAGCGUCCUACUUACUGUAAUAAAGUGUUACUUCAAAUCAAACACUUAUACAGCGUGGGUUCUGGUUGAUCAUCUAAUCUCAAUGACCCUCAUUCACGAGAUAUACCGAUAAUGGUCUACUUAGUUAUUUGUAACCGCUUCGCUCAUGCUAAGAGCGACUACUAAUUAUUCUGAUGAAAUGAGUGACUAUAAAAAUCAUUUAAUUUUAUCUGUUCUUUCUGCGUUCACAGUCAUAUAUGAUAUGAUUGGCAUUUUGUAUGAGCAAGGAUUUCACAGGCUCAGGUGCCGCAUUACGAGUGUUACAUUAAUUAUAAAUAUGUAGUCAAACUACAAUUACAUGUGGUGAAUGUAAGAAAGAUAGAUCGUUUGUCAAAUAUGCGUUUACAUUAACUGAGUAGGGCAUGCAAGAUAUUAAAUAUUUUGUUGUGCAUCCAUGUGAAUAAUCAAUAAUGAAUAACAAAAAUAUACUAGUUUCCGUUGCUGUGUCACUCAUGCCAAGGACACACUGCAGCUUCAAACCGUUUGGACAUCAAGCAUUCCAUGCUAUUUACUGUUCUAGGAACAAUUCGGUUAUUCCGUGUGUUACACUGAGUCGCUCUCACUCGUACUGAGUAUUGUACAUGCAGGGAUCAAUUCUGAGGCAUAAACAUACAUAUCAUAAAUUUACUGACAGUGUAUAUGUGUCAAACUGCAUGUAGUGCACAGAACAAUGGAACUAGAGAGUACUAGUUUUCGUUUCUGUGUCACUCAUGCCAAAGACACGCUGCA